UUAAGUUAAUAAGGGCGCACGGUGGAUGCCUUGGCACUAGAAGCCGAAGAAGGACGUGACAAACGACGAAAUGCUUUGGGGAGCUGUAAGUAAGCGCUGAUCCAGAGAUGUCCGAAUGGGGGAACCCACUAACUAAUGGUUAGUAUCCAUAACUGUUAAGGUUAUGAGAAGGAAGACGCAGUGAACUGAAACAUCUAAGUAGCUGCAGGAAGAGAAAGCAAACGCGAUUGCCUUAGUAGCGGCGAGCGAAACGGCAGGAGGGCAAACCGAAGUGUUUACACUUCGGGGUUGUAGGACUGCGACGUGGGACUUUAAAAGGAUAGAAGAAUUACCUGGGAAGGUAAGCCAAAGAGAGUAAAAGCCUCGUAUUUAAAAUUCUUUUGAGCCCUAGCAGUAUCCUGAGUACGGCGAGACACGUGAAAUCUCGUUGGAAUCUGGGAGGACCAUCUCCCAACCCUAAAUACUCUCUAGUGACCGAUAGUGAACCAGUACCGUGAGGGAAAGGUGAAAAGCACCCCGGGAGGGGAGUGAAAUAGAACCUGAAACCGUGUGCCUACAACAAGUUCGAGCCCGUUAAUGGGUGAGAGCGUGCCUUUUGUAGAAUGAACCGGCGAGUUACGAUAUGAUGCGAGGUUAAGUUGAAGAGACGGAGCCGUAGGGAAACCGAGUCUUAAUAGGGCGAUUUAGUAUCAUGUUGUAGACCCGAAACCAUGUGACCUACCCAUGAGCAGGUUGAAGGUGAGGUAAAACUCACUGGAGGACCGAACCAGGGCACGUUGAAAAGUGCUUGGAUGACUUGUGGGUAGCGGAGAAAUUCCAAACGAACUUGGAGAUAGCUGGUUCUCUCCGAAAUAGCUUUAGGGCUAGCGUCGAUGUUAAGUCUCUUGGAGGUAGAGCACUGUUUGGGUGAGGGGUCCAUCUCGGAUUACCAAUCUCAGAUAAACUCCGAAUGCCAACGAGAUAUCAUCGGCAGUCAGACUGCGAGUGCUAAGAUCCGUAGUCGAAAGGGAAACAGCCCAGACCACCAGCUAAGGUCCCAAAAUAACUGUUAAGUGGAAAAGGAUGUGGGGUUGCACAGACAACUAGGAUGUUAGCUUAGAAGCAGCUAUUCAUUCAAAGAGUGCGUAAUAGCUCACUAGUCGAGUGACCCUGCGCCGAAAAUGUACCGGGGCUAAAACAGUUUACCGAAGCUGUGGAUGACACAAAAGUGUCAUGGUAGGAGAGCGUUCUAUGUGUGAAGAAGGUGUACCGUGAGGAGCGCUGGAACGCAUAGAAGUGAGAAUGCCGGUAUGAGUAGCGAAAGACAGGUGAGAAUCCUGUCCACCGUAAGACUAAGGUUUCCAGGGGAAGGCUCGUCCGCCCUGGGUUAGUCGGGACCUAAGGAGAGACCGAAAGGUGUAUCCGAUGGCCAACAGGUUGAUAUUCCUGUACUAGAGUAUAUAGUGAUGGAGGGACGCAGUAGGCUAACUAAACCGGACGAUUGGAAGAGUCCGGCUAAGCAGUGAGGUGUAAGAUGAGUCAAAUGCUUAUCUUUAUAACAUUGAGCUGUGAUGGGGAGCGAAUUUUAGUAGCGAAGUUAGUGAUGUCACACUGCCAAGAAAAGCUUCUAGCGUUUAAUGAUACUCUACCCGUACCGCAAACCGACACAGGUAGUCGAGGCGAGUAGCCUCAGGUGAUCGAGAGAACUCUCGUUAAGGAACUCGGCAAAAUGACCCCGUAACUUCGGGAGAAGGGGUGCUGACUUAGGUCAGCCGCAGUGAAUAGGCCCAAGCAACUGUUUAUCAAAAACACAGCUCUCUGCUAAAUCGUAAGAUGAUGUAUAGGGGGUGACGCCUGCCCGGUGCUGGAAGGUUAAGAGGAGGGUUUAGCGCAAGCGAAGAUCUGAAUUGAAGCCCCAGUAAACGGCGGCCGUAACUAUAACGGUCCUAAGGUAGCGAAAUUCCUUGUCGGGUAAGUUCCGACCCGCACGAAAGGCGUAAUGAUUUGGGCACUGUCUCAACGAGAGACUCGGUGAAAUUUUAGUACCUGUGAAGAUGCAGGUUACCCGCGACAGGACGGAAAGACCCCAUGGAGCUUUACUGCAGUUUGAUAUUGAGUAUCUGUACCACAUGUACAGGAUAGGUAGGAGCCAUUGACUUCGGGACGCCAGUUUCGAAUGAGGCGCUGUUGGGAUACUACCCUUGUGUUAUGGCUACUCUAACCCAGAUAGGUUAUCCCUAUCGGAGACAGUGUCUGACGGGCAGUUUGACUGGGGCGGUCGCCUCCUAAAGAGUAACGGAGGCGCCCAAAGGUUCCCUCAGAUUGGUUGGAAAUCAAUCGCAGAGUGUAAAGGUAUAAGGGAGCUUGACUGCGAGAGCUACAACUCGAGCAGGGACGAAAGUCGGGCUUAGUGAUCCGGUGGUACCGAAUGGAAGGGCCAUCGCUCAACGGAUAAAAGCUACCCUGGGGAUAACAGGCUUAUCUCCCCCAAGAGUUCACAUCGACGGGGAGGUUUGGCACCUCGAUGUCGGCUCGUCGCAUCCUGGGGCUGUAGUCGGUCCCAAGGG
rnacentral:rRNA from 6 species